rnacentral:rRNA from 1 species
AGAGUUUGAUCCUGGCUCAGGAUGAACUUUGGCGGCGUGCUUAACACAUGCAAGUCGAACGAAGCACCUCUCCCGAAGAUUGACACAGCUUGCUGUAGAUUGAUUCAUUUGAGGUGACUGAGUGGCGGACGGGUGAGUAACGCGUGGGUAACCUGCCUCAUAGAGGGGGACAACAGUUGGAAACGGCUGCUAAUACCGCAUAAGCGCACGGCAUCACAUGAUGCAGUGUGAAAAACUCCGGUGGUAUAAGAUGGACCCGCGUUGGAUUAGCUAGUUGGUGAGGUAACGGCCCACCAAGGCGACGAUCCAUAGCCGACCUGAGAGGGUGACCGGCCACAUUGGGACUGAGACACGGCCCAAACUCCUACGGGAGGCAGCAGUGGGGAAUAUUGCACAAUGGGCGAAAGCCUGAUGCAGCGACGCCGCGUGAGCGAAGAAGUAUUUCGGUAUGUAAAGCUCUAUCAGCAGGGAAGAUAAUGACGGUACCUGACUAAGAAGCACCGGCUAAAUACGUGCCAGCAGCCGCGGUAAUACGUAUGGUGCAAGCGUUAUCCGGAUUUACUGGGUGUAAAGGGAGCGCAGGCGGUGCGGCAAGUCUGAUGUGAAAGCCCGGGGCUCAACCCCGGUACUGCAUUGGAAACUGUCGUACUAGAGUGUCGGAGGGGUAAGCGGAAUUCCUAGUGUAGCGGUGAAAUGCGUAGAUAUUAGGAGGAACACCAGUGGCGAAGGCGGCUUACUGGACGAUAACUGACGCUGAGGCUCGAAAGCGUGGGGAGCAAACAGGAUUAGAUACCCUGGUAGUCCACGCCGUAAACGA